AAGAGUUUGAAUGGAUUUUAUAUAAAUAUUUACCCCGACAAAGCUACUGCUGAGCUCGUGGGAUAAACUCGCAGCAGCUGGUCUCACUCUGCUUCCCUCGCUUGCCCCUGGAAGGGUUUAAUUACUCUGGAGAGGAGAGGGGAGAGAUCCAGACCCCAGUUCUGGCUCCAGACUGACCCAAAAAGCAGGACCGGGAUUUAAAUGAACUAUGGAUCUGAAGGACAGCACCAGCGAGGGCAGCAUGGGCAGCCUGCAGCCUUCCAGCAUCCAAAUUUUUGCCAACACUACCACGCUCCAUGGGAUCCGUCACGUCUUUGUCUACGGGCCGGUGACCAUCCGGCGCCUGCUCUGGACCUUGGCCUUUGUGGGCUCGCUGGGUCUCCUCCUGGUGGAGAGCUCGGACAGGGUGGCUUUUUACUUCUCCUACCAGCACGUGACCAAAGUGGACGAGGUGGUGGCGAACAGCCUGGUGUUUCCUGCUGUCACCAUCUGUAACCUCAACGAGUUCCGCUUCUCCCGGCUCACCACCAACGACCUGUACCACGCUGGGGAGCUCCUGGCUCUGCUGGAUGUCAACCUGCAGAUCCCCAACCCUCACCUGGCUGACCCCGCUGUCUUAGCCACCCUCCAAGAAAAGGCCAACUUUAAGCAGUAUAAACCCAAAGUUUUCAGCAUGCAAGAGUUCCUGGCACGGGUUGGCCACGACCUGAAGGAUAUGAUGCUGUACUGCAAGUUCAGAGGCCAGGAGUGCAACCACAAGGACUUCAAAACAGUGUUUACAAAAUAUGGGAAAUGCUACAUGUUUAACUCAGGAGAGGAGGGGCGGCCUCUCCUCACCACGGUGAAGGGGGGCACAGGGAAUGGCCUGGAAAUCAUGCUGGACAUCCAGCAGGACGAGUAUCUGCCCAUCUGGGGAGAAACCGAGGAGACGACGUUCGAGGCUGGAGUCAAGGUGCAGAUCCACAGCCAGUCCGAGCCUCCCUUCGUCCAGGAGCUGGGAUUUGGGGUGGCCCCAGGAUUCCAGACCUUUGUGGCCACCCAGGAGCAAAGGCUGACGUACCUGCCCCCGCCGUGGGGCGAGUGCCGCUCCCCGGAGCUGGGGCUGGCGUUUUUCCCGGUGUACAGCGUCACGGCCUGCAGGAUCGACUGCGAGACGCGCUACAUCGUGGAGAACUGCAACUGCAGGAUGGUGCACAUGCCAGGGGAUGCUCCCUUCUGCACCCCGGAGCAGUACAAGGAAUGUGCGGAGCCGGCGCUCAGUCUCCUGGCAGAGAAGGACAGCAAUUACUGCAUCUGCAGGACCCCCUGUAACCUCACCAGGUACAACAAGGAGCUCUCCAUGGUCAAGAUCCCCAGCAAGACCUCGGCCAAGUACCUGGAGAAGAAGUUCAACAAGUCGGAAAAAUACAUCUCAGAGAAUAUUCUCGUGCUGGACAUUUUUUUUGAAGCACUCAACUAUGAGACCAUUGAGCAGAAGAAAGCCUAUGAAGUGGCAGCCUUACUUGGUGACAUUGGUGGCCAGAUGGGGCUGUUCAUCGGGGCCAGCAUCCUCACCAUCCUCGAGCUCUUCGAUUACCUGUAUGAGCUGAUCAAGGAAAAGUUAUUGGACCUUCUUGGAAAAGAGGAAGAGGACGGGAGCCAUGACGAGAACGUGAGCACCUGUGAUCCAGUGCCAAACCACUCGGAGAGCCUGAGCCACACUGUGACCGUGCCCCUGCAGGCCCCGCUGGGGACGCUGGAGGAAAUCGCCUGCUGACCCCUCCCCACCACAGUGCCCAUCCCGAGGAAGGAAAACUGCACAGGGAAAACAGGGACCCAGCUCAGCUCCCAGGCUGGGAGAGCUGGGAAUGUUCACCUGGAAAAGGGAAGCUCAGAGAAGAGAAACCUCGGAGCCCCUUCCAAUGCCUAAAGGGGCUCCAGGAGAGCUGGAGAGGGACUUGGCACACGGGAUGGAGGGCCAGGACACUUUUUGGGAUUGUCCAAGCCUGAGCAGCAGCAGCAGCAGCAAAUCCCAAAGGAAGCAUCCCAAAUACCCCGAGCACUGCACGCCAGGGCUUUUCCUGGCCCCGGGAUUCCUCAGCUGCCUCUCUCAGCUCUGUUCCUCUUUGCAGUCCCUGGGUUUCAGUGCCAGAAGGAGCAUCCCAGAAUUCUCCAUUCCCAGCGCCGUAGGCUGAGAGUUUUACAAUAAAGAGAUCCCAAAGUCGGCGCUCUCGGAUUCUUCUCCCGGUCGCGUCCUCUGGGUGAGGUUGGGCUGAAUCCCGAGCUCAGCCCAAGGUGAGCAUCCCUGGAGAGGAGCCACAGGGAUCCCUAUGGAUCAUCCCAGCCCUGCUGUGCCUGCAGAGUCCGGGAGCAGCGGGUGGGGUUGGGCUCAUGAAUUUCUUUCAUUUUUGGGGGGAACUUUUGGAAUUUCCUUCUUCUCCCAUUCAUGGAUUCUGUGCUUUCUCCUCGUUCUCCUGACUGAUAUUAAAGCUGGUCUUGUGGAAA